CCCCUGGUGGUCUAGUGGUUAGGAUGCGAUGCUUUCACUGCCACGGCCCAGGUUCGAUUCCCGGUCAGGGAA
rnacentral:tRNA from 1 species